rnacentral:rRNA from 1 species
GUUAGGAAUAUUGGACAAUGGGCGCAAGCCUGAUCCAGCCAUGCCGCGUGAGUGAUGAAGGCCUUCGGGUUGUAAAGCUCUUUAGCCGAUGAUUAUAAUGACUGUAGUCGGAAAAUAAGCCCCGGCUAACUUCGUGCCAGCAGCCGCGGUAAUACGAAGGGGGCGAGCGUUAUUCGGAAUCACUGGGCGUAAAGCGUGCGUAGGCGGCUUUGCAAGGUGGGAGUGAAAGCCCAGGGCUCAACCCUGGAAUAGCUCUCAAAACUGCAAGGCUCGAAUUCGGGAGAGGAUAGCGGAAUUGUCAGUGUAGCAGUGAAAUGCGUAGAUAUUGACAGGAACACCAGUGGCGUAAGCGGCUAUCUGGACCGAUAUUGACGCUGAGGCACGAAAGCGUGGGGAUCAAACAGGAUUAGAUACCCCGGUAGUCC